rnacentral:rRNA from 1 species
UACAGAGGGGGCAAGCGUUGUUCGGAAUUACUGGGCGUAAAGCGUGCGCAGGCGGUUUUGUAAGCCAGAUGUGAAAUCCCCGGGCUUAACCUGGGAAUGGCAUUUGGGACUGCAAGGCUCGAGUGCGGCAGAGGAGACUGGAAUUCCUGGUGUAGCAGUGAAAUGCGUAGAUAUCAGGAGGAACACCGAUGGCGAAGGCAGGUCUCUGGGCUGACACUGACGCUCAUGCACGAAAGCGUGGGGAGCAAACGAGG